CAUGGAUUAUAAGGAAAACGACGCUCGUGCAAUGAACUCACAAUAUAAUGUAAGUUUUUGUCAUAAUAUACAUAUAUGUUUUGUAACAAAGUAGUAUGUGUUGUUUUAUAUGUUUGUGAUUGUCUUUUGUAUGUUUGAUGUCAUUUAGUGCCAGAGACCCAGGCAAAAACAGGGAUUGUUAAAUAUAUACGCUGGACACAACAAAUCAGGAUGGUCGACCGUUUAAUUUAAUUUCGGACUCUGGGUUAAAAAACUUGGCACAGUUUUUUAUUUCUGUCGAUGAGAAACUGGGGGAAAACGUCAAUAUUGACUCUUUAUUGCCGCAUCCCACAACUAUAUCGCGAAACAUCGGUGCGCUCUAUGAUUUUCAUUUCAAUGAAGUAAAAUGCGAAAUUAAUGAGCAUAACUUUGGAUAUCUGGACGGACGAUUUCUUUAUGAAAUCUUAUAUUUCACUGACUAUGCAUUAUGUCAAAGAAGGCACUCUUAAAAACCGACUGCUAGCAGUGAAAUCAAUGGAUGGAGCCUCCUGUACCGGUAAUGAAAUAAAAACAAAAUCGCGCGAAUGUUACGUGACUUUGGGUGUGAUUUGAUGAUGGACGAUCCAAUAAUUGUUACCGACCGCGGAGCUAGCAUGAAAGCAGCAUUCAACGGACUGAGCACAAUACACUGUGCCAAUCACUUGCUCCAUAAUGUGAUUGGCAAACUUGUAAAUGAAGUACCAGAACUGCUGGAUCAGGUUAAUCGCUGCAGCAAGCUUGUUAAAAAUUUUAAAAAAUCUUGACAACUGGAACUUAACAAGCAUCCUAAAAAGCUACUGUCCAACUCGUUGGAAUAGCGUAUUUAACCUCUUUAAGUCGGCUGAGCUAAAUUGGAUGGAAAUUUCGCAGAUUUUGGUAGAUAAAAAUGAAAUUACAGAUAAUAAUUUAAAUAACAUUAGCGGAAUCGUCAACCUUCUCGCACCUUUUGAAUGUUGCUCUAAAAUGCUGCAGGGUAGCAAUUAUCCAACAUUGCACUUGACGGUUCCACAUAUAAAUAAGUUUAAAAAUAUAUGCUCACCAAAUGAAAACGAUAUUGAAAUAGUGAAAAUAAUGCAAACUAACGCUUUUAGAGUACACAGAUUCAAUAGUUAUAGAAAAUUUAAAAUCACAACAUUGCCCUAUUUAUGUUUACACCCACCAAUAAAUUAGCAAAAUUCUCAGAAUUAGAAAAGGAACAAAUUUUUAAAGACGUUGAAGAAAUGAUAAUUAAUAAAUAAAUAUAUAAAUAGCCAA